rnacentral:rRNA from 1 species
GAUGAACGCUGGCGGCGUGCCUAAUACAUGCAAGUCGAGCGAACAGACGAGGAGCUUGCUCCUCUGACGUUAGCGGCGGACGGGUGAGUAACACGUGGAUAACCUACCUAUAAGACUGGGAUAACUUCGGGAAACCGGAGCUAAUACCGGAUAAUAUAUUGAACCGCAUGGUUCAAUAGUGAAAGACGGUUUUGCUGUCACUUAUAGAUGGAUCCGCGCCGCAUUAGCUAGUUGGUAAGGUAACGGCUUACCAAGGCGACGAUGCGUAGCCGACCUGAGAGGGUGGUCGGCCACACUGGAACUGAGACACGGUCCAGACUCCUACGGGAGGCAGCAGUAGGGAAUCUUCCGCAAUGGGCGGAAGCCUGACGGAGCAACGCCGCGUGAGUGAUGAAGGUCUUCGGAUCGUAAAACUCUGUUAUUAGGGAAGAACAAAUGUGUAAGUAACUAUGCACGUCUUGACGGUACCUAAUCAGAAAGCCACGGCUAACUACGUG